CACCUUUUUGUCCUGUUCCGGCUUCCACAGAUUGGACGAGGCCCACCCACCUUGGGGAGGGGCCAGCUGCUGUGUUCAGUCCGCCAUUGCAAACACGAAGCUCUUCCAGAAACGCCCUCACAGACACCCCGGAAGUCACGUACCCACUCUGUAGGUGCCCCGGGGCACAGGCAAGCGGACGAGCCAGUUAUCCCUCAGAGCUCCUGCUGCCUCGCCCGCUUUCUCUCGGAAACGUGAAGUGUGGCCUCAGCUGAAAGUGAGGUGGGCCUCAUUCAAUCAGUUGAAUUCUUCAAGAGAGAAAAACUGAAGUCCCUUAGAAGGAAAGAGUUCUGCCUUCAGACUGUCUUUGAACUUAAGACUGUAGCGUCGACUCCUGCCGGAAUUUCCAGCCUGCUGGCCAGCUCUGCAGAUUCACACUUGCCAGCCUCCACAAUCGCAGCUGAGGCGGAGGAACCCUAAGGGCUCAUUGAGAUCAUGGAUUUGCCCUUCUAUGCAUUGAUGGAGCACCUGCUGCCCACAGCGUCUGUAUUUGGUGCUGGGAUGCUGAGGACACUGAGAUCUUCAAACAGAGGCUGCCACUCUAAGCAAACAGAUCCCGAGCCCUGGACUCUGAAGCUUGGGCCCAGUUCUCCUUUUCUCCGGGUUUCAGAUCCCACUGUGAAGUGAGGGGGCCCUUCUGAUUCAGGACCCGGGGAAGCCAGGGGCAUGAGCAUCGGUGCCUCUUCUCUAUUUCAAGGACCCUUCUGGGUGUAAAGUUCUCUGAGAUGCCUUACAUGGAUUCCCACCACUGCAAGAUAACCAUCGUAUGUAAAGUGUUAUGACCAGCAGAGCGUAAUUGAAGUGCAUUCCAGAGGGAAAGACAGCGGCUCAGAUUCUAUUGAAAGAAACAUGACAUAAUGAUACCACAGCAAAAGCCAAUCUUGCUCCUUUUUAAAAAAUUAAAAACAAAACAAAACAAAAUUAAAAAACAAGAAAAAACACCACCAUAGGAUGUCCACCCUGGGAGACUAAUUCUAAGAGAGAAGCUCUGUUCUUCCACUGCUAAUCACUCCAAAUAAAUACCACGACUGAGCUUGUCGGAGAAGAGAGAGCAGCAACAGCCUUGCCCACAGGUCUUCUCAUCUGCAUGAGAACAAAGUGGAUGGCUCAGAAAGACAGAGACACUCUUCCAUCCAAUAUGAAAUCCCAUCAGAAGUGUAGAGAGGCCUCCAGCUGCAUCCACCUCCAGGCCCCACCCAGCCUCCUGUCCUGAGCCGCUUUGGAUGAGAUCAGGGGCUCAUGAGCCAUGCAAAGCCAGCCCGGCAUUCCUGCCCAGAACAGCCAUGCUUGCAUGUUUCUGUACAUUUCGUCCAUGGUCUUCUUGUCCACAAGUCUUAGCCGGCCUAUUUCCCUUCUCCAGAAACAUAAACAUGGUAUUUGUAAUUUUAUUAUCACCAAGGUUGCAUUGAUGAGAGGCUUUCUCCUUGUGUGUCGCGGUUCAGGAGCCAGUUUGAGGGGCCCAGGCCCUGAAGCAGCCUUCUUAGGAGGGCAAGCCUCUUUUUGCGGAGAAGAUUCCUGGGCUGGCAGAGUGUGUGGUGUGGUUCAUUUCAUGUGCCAACUUGCCUGGGCCAUGGGAUGCCAGACAGCUGGUGAAACAUUAUUCCUGGUGUCUGGGAGGGUGUUUCUUAAUGAGAGCACAUGUGAACCCACAGAUUGAGUCAAGAAGACCCCUCCCUAGUGUGGGCGGGCAUUGUCGUCCAAUCCACCGUGGGCCCUGGUAGAACAAGGAGGCAGAGAAAGGGUGCAUUCUUCCUCUCUGAGCUGGGACAUUUGUCUCCUCUUGCCCUUGGACACCUGUGCUCCUGGUUCUCAGGCCUUAGACUCUAGGACUCACAUUAUUGCCCUGGCCCCCAUCCUCGCCCACCCUACCCAGUACUCAGGCCUUCAGACCAGGACUGAGCGUGCACCU
rnacentral:lncRNA from 10 species